rnacentral:lncRNA from 1 species
CAGCAGUGGAGACGCCUCCGCGCACAACCGCUGGGUUCCUGUCUCGGUCACAGGCGGGGAGGCGAUGAAGCCGGCGUCUCAGUCCCGGGAGAAAGGAGCGCUCAUGGGUCGCCAGGCAGAGAAGGGCUCGCUCCCGGUGCAGGGGCUGGCCUCGGCCUCGCGGUGCCCGGUGGCGGGGCCCGCUGCACGUCUCCCGGAGGACGGGGAGCCCGCGGCCGGAGGAGCCACAGAAGGAGGCGGGCGGUGCGCGCUCGGGGGUGGGAGCUCUAGCGCCGUGAGCGCCGGCGGCCGCCUGGCGUCUGCACCCGGGUUCCGCCGCGCCACUUCCUCGCCGGCUGCCGAGCGCUCUGCGCCCAGCCCCUCGCGCCGGGCUAUAAGCUGUGCGGCCGGGAGGGGAGGAGGCGCUUGCAAAGAGCGGCCACGGGGAGGACAGAGAGCGGGAGGGGGCCGGGAGAGGAGCGGGAAGUGCGAGUGUGCAGGGACCGGGAGAGGAAGCGGGGAGGGGCUGGAACGCAGAGACAAAGCGGACGCCAGUCUCAGCCACUCCAGCUGCAGCCCUCCAGGACCGCGGAUAAAAUAAAUUUUCCCGGGUCGAGGUGUCUCGUCUCCCUGCAACCGAGUUACGGAUGGCCCCGGAGUUGAGGGACCCAGCGCAGGGGAGGACAGGGCGGUGCAGCCGGCGCGGCCCGAAACUGGCGCGGAGUCCUGGCUCCAGCGAGCUUCACAAAGCCAGAGAGGCCCGAUAAGUUCAAGUCACCAAAUCUACCAGGAACCAUCCUCGAUGACCCUAAAUAGGAAUGGCAUGUGGACGGUGCAUGUAGCUCAGUUGGUUGGCGGGGAGUCUUGCCACUGGAAGCCCACAGUGGGGACAGGGAUCGAUCGAACUCGGGCCCUUGCGCUUUUGAGGCAGGCGGCAGAAUCUCUGAGCUAAAUCCCCAGCCCUCUAAGGUGAUUCUUAUCACCCCACCUGCUGGAAGAUAAGAACGUUAUGCUUGAUGUUUGAAGCUGCCACAGCUAGCCUGUAGCAAUGAAGGACAAGACAAGAGAAUCACAGAGACACAAGUUAUAGUACCAUAAAGACACUGACUCAAGUCAAGAGCCACCCACCUCCAGACUUCCUGUUAAGUGGGGAAAACAAGAACGUGUUUGCUUACCCAACCCUUGGUUGUGUCUGCUCUCCCUAACAGCAGCUGAAUGCAAUCCUGAGACAAAAGUCAUUUCAAGAAAAUGCCUUUCUACUUUGAAUAAUGAC